rnacentral:tRNA from 1 species
UUUAAUAUGGCAGAUUAGUGCAUUGGUCUUAAAAUCCAUUUAUAAAGAACUUAACUAUUCUUUUAUUAAAA